rnacentral:piRNA from 1 species
UACUUUGACUUUUAAAAAGGGGGUUACUGU